UGCCAGCCGCCGCGGUAAUACAUAAAAAGCAAGCGUUAUCCGGAAUUAUUGGGCGUAAAGGGCGCGCAGGCGGUCUUGUCCGUCAGGUGUGAAAGCUCGGGGCUCAACCCCGGAAGUGCACUUGAAACAGCAAGACUUGAAUACGGUAGAGGAGAGAGGAAUUCCUGGUGUAGAGGUGAAAUUCGUAGAUAUCAGGAGGAACACCGAUGGCGAAGGCAUCUCUCUGGGCCGAUAUUGACGCUGAGGCGCGAAGGCGUGGGUAGCGAACGGGAUUAGAUA
rnacentral:rRNA from 1 species